AGAUGCUUAUGUUUUCACUCAUGCAGCACUGCUGGAGGUCUGAACCAACAAAAAUCGCGAAGCAGAUGCAAUAAAAUGUUUUUCUGUAGAAGGUUUUGAUGAAACCUGUCUAGCUAAAGAUACAUUAUUACAAUUUAAACGACAAUUUUCCAAUUUAUUGCGAAGGUAAACAAGUACUGAGCGAAAUGCAAUCGCGAUUCCAAACAAAUAACUUUUAACCAAAAAAUCAUUCAAUCAGUCAA
rnacentral:lncRNA from 1 species